rnacentral:rRNA from 1 species
CAUAUUCUUUCAAUAGUUUUGAUAUCAUGGCUCAGGACGAACGCUGGCGGCGUGCUAAUACAUGCAAGUCGAGCGGACAGAUAGGGAGCUUGCUCCCGGAUGUUAGCGGCGGACGGGUGAGUAACACGUGGGUAACCUGCCUGUAAGACUGGGAUAACUCCGGGAAACCGGAGCUAAUACCGGAUAGUUCCUUGAACCGCAUGGUUCAAGGAUGAAAGACGGUUUCGGCUGUCACUUACAGAUGGACCCGCGGCGCAUUAGCUAGUUGGUGGGGUAAUGGCUCACCAAGGCGACGAUGCGUAGCCGACCUGAGAGGGUGAUCGGCCACACUGGGACUGAGACACGGCCCAGACUCCUACGGGAGGCAGCAGUAGGGAAUCUUCCGCAAUGGACGAAAGUCUGACGGAGCAACGCCGCGUGAGUGAUGAAGGUUUUCGGAUCGUAAAGCUCUGUUGUUAGGGAAGAACAAGUGCGAGAGUAACUGCUCGCACCUUGACGGUACCUAACCAGAAAGCCACGGCUAACUACGUGCCAGCAGCCGCGGUAAUACGUAGGUGGCAAGCGUUGUCCGGAAUUAUUGGGCGUAAAGGGCUCGCAGGCGGUUUCUUAAGUCUGAUGUGAAAGCCCCCGGCUCAACCGGGGAGGGUCAUUGGAAACUGGGAAACUUGAGUGCAGAAGAGGAGAGUGGAAUUCCACGUGUAGCGGUGAAAUGCGUAGAGAUGUGGAGGAACACCAGUGGCGAAGGCGACUCUCUGGUCUGUAACUGACGCUGAGGAGCGAAAGCGUGGGGAGCGAACAGGAUUAGAUACCCUGGUAGUCCACGCCGUAAACGAUGAGUGCUAAGUGUUAGGGGGUUUCCGCCCCUUAGUGCUGCAGCUAACGCAUUAAGCAACUUCA